GCCUGGUUAUAUCAGUCGGUAGAUAGUUUGACUCUUACUCCUUGUGUUAAGAUAUCAAAAUGUCAUGGGUUCGAGCCCCAUACUAGGCU
rnacentral:tRNA from 1 species